rnacentral:snRNA from 1 species
AGCUUUGCACAGUGGCAGUAUCAUAGCCAAUGAGGUUUAUCUGAGGCAUGAUUAUUGCUAAUAAAUGCAGCUUAAUCAAUCUGGAGACUGCAUGGAAAGCUAUAAUAAUCUAUCAGUUACCCUGUAA